rnacentral:rRNA from 1 species
AUUGAACGCUGGCGGCAUGCCUUACACAUGCAAGUCGAACGGCAGCACGGGAGCAAUCCUGGUGGCGAGUGGCGAACGGGUGAGUAAUACAUCGGAACGUGCCCAGUUGUGGGGGAUAGCCCGGCGAAAGCCGGAUUAAUACCGCAUACGACCUACGGGUGAAAGCGGGGGAUCGCAAGACCUCGCGCAAUUGGAGCGGCCGAUGGCAGAUUAGCUUGUUGGUGGGGUAAAAGCCUACCAAGGCGACGAUCUGUAGCUGGUCUGAGAGGACGACCAGCCACACUGGGACUGAGACACGGCCCAGACUCCUACGGGAGGCAGCAGUGGGGAAUUUUGGACAAUGGGCGCAAGCCUGAUCCAGCCAUGCCGCGUGUGGGAAGAAGGCCUUCGGGUUGUAAACCACUUUUGUCAGGGAAGAAACGGUCUGAUCUAAUAAAUCGGACUAAUGACGGUACCUGAAGAAUAAGCACCGGCUAACUACGUG